rnacentral:sRNA from 1 species
AAAGAGCGCUUGUGGGUGUCACCUCAAGGUGUGGGUGGUACUGGAAGGGAAGGGAAGGGUUGGUUGUGGCAUGGUGACCUAGAAGAGGUGAGACUCUGUGGGUGGCUUUCUUUGCGCAGAUGUAUCAACCUCCGCCUGCCUGAAGGCUGUGACAAUCCUUGGGUAUGGCAAUAUUGGUACCUUACUUAGCCCGAGUUCUACCCCAUCACAUCUCUUUGGGUAAAAUACGCCACAAUUUCUCAAGGAAUUCUGUACUGACCUGCCAUAUACGUGAGAAUACCUGAAAGAGUUGUCGGGCUCAGUGAUCUCUCCUGUCCCCAUCCACGUCUUGAAGCAUCUUCCACAGGGGCCCUGGUGCCUGGAAAUCAUCACCAGAAGCAACUUGAGGAGGAAAAGAGUUGAUUUCAGCGGAAGCUCAAGGCAGUAACCUGAAAACGAGAACCAUGGAAGGAAGAUCCGGUGGAGAGAGGCUGCUCAUUGGCUUGUUUUCGGGCACACGUUCAGCUUCCUUUCUUGUACAGCGCCGUUCCACCUGCCUAGGCAUGAUGUAGCCCACAGUCUACUUAGAACUUCCUUCAUCAAUCAGCAAUGAAGAAAAUGCCCACCCUCUACUCCGAUGUAGGAGAGUCCUCAGCUGAGCCUUUCUCUUCCCAGGUGACUCAGGUUAAUGUCAAGGUGACAGCUAAAGCUUCCUGUGGCAACAUCUAAAUGAGGAGUUAGCGUUGAAAGCAGUAGAUUUGUUCGUUAUACGGGGGGAUCGGUCGGUCUCUGUCCCCCAUCUCUGUCUUUGGUUCUGGGAAAGGACACCAGCCUCAAGUCUUCCUUUUGCUGUUGAACAUUCUGUCCCGAGGUUCAGUAUGUUCAUUUGUAAGAUGUGACUUCUGGAUGGGAGACUGGCAGCUUUGGGAUCUGUCACAUUAGUCACUUUACCCGUCCCCAGAUCUUCUCAAGCCAAGGAAGCUGGCCCCUGACCCUGCACUUAAAACACAAGGCAAAUGGAGCCUUCCACCUUCUCAAGUCACUACUUUAAGGCAACUUCUAAACUAACUUAAAGGAAAUAGGAACAUUCUUAUCUCCUAAAUAUGUUCUGGGAAGGGAAGUCCAUCCUGAAAACUCCGGAACCCAUUGCUGUUUAUAAAGAAAAGAAAAUGCUAUAGACAGUGAGGCAGGAGACUUGCUGCAAGUUUGUGGAAAACCGGGGCUACAGACAGAGAUACUGCCUCAAAAUCAAAAUCAAAGUUCUAGUCAGCGCAGCUACGAACCAUCUGUGUGACACAGAUGUCAGGAGUGACGGGACACCAGAGGCGGAAGCACCUAUGUCCCCUGGCUACAGCAAAGUUCCCAGACCUAUGAAAACCAUCCAGCCUGCUCUGAGCCACAUGCCUGCAGGUCGCAGAGGCAUGCGGGAAAGUGAGAGGAAGUGGAAACGUGCUACAAGAGGGCUCAAAGCAAUGUGCUCACCACCGGAAAAAAAAAUAAAAAUAAACACACUCAGAAAUAGUGUAACUGAUAUGCAAAGGAGAUCAAAACAAGGUUUAAAAUAUCUUGGCUGAUUUAGAGUUGGUGGGCGUGAUCCGGAAGGCACGCACUGGAGCAGGAUGUGAGACGGAUGCUACAGCAGGUGCCUAACCACCUAUCUUACAAUGUCCUUACAAAGCGCCUCCACCUCUCAUCCUUAGGGCUGGAAUGGCUAAGGCUAAUCACCGGUUUCCAGCUAAAGAAACUGAGGCUCCAUGAAGAAAUGAUCCAAGUUCCUGAAAUGAGAAGCCUAUUCAAGGCUGAUCUUGAGUUGAUAUUGUAAUACGUCAUCACCGUGAGAUGCACAGAAUCAACCCAUUCCUGGCUCACAAAGCCCAGCCUUGGGCAGAGGUGGAAGAGGGCACAUGUCCUGUUUUGCUUCCUGUUCCUAUGAUGAAUACCACGGUUCAGUGCAACUCAGGAAGGGAAAGUGUUUAUUUGGCUUUCUUUUCCCACACUACAGCCAUCGCCUGGAGAAGUCAGGGCAGGAACUCAAGGCAGGACCCUGGGGGCAGAAGCCAUGAAGGAACACUUGCUGAUUGGUGGUUCCCCACAGCUUGGCUGGGUCUGUUUUACUUCCUUUGCUUCUUCCUUUUAUUUUAAUCUCCCCAAAUGACUCAUUUAUUAGAAAGUUGAAUAUAAUAAUAAUAAUA